rnacentral:rRNA from 1 species
UACGUAGGGGGCGAGCGUUGUCCGGAUUUACUGGGCGUAAAGCGCGUGUAGGCGGCUUCUUAAGUCGGGUGUGAAAGCCCGGGGCUCAACCCCGGGAUGCCGCCCGAGACUGGGAGGCUUGAGGUCGGAAGAGGGGAGUGGAAUUCCAGGUGUAGCGGUGAAAUGCGUAGAGAUCUGGAGGAACACCCGUGGCGAAGGCGGCAUCCUGGACCGGUAUUGACGCUGAGGCGCGAAAGCUAGGGGAGCAAACGGG